rfam:Gorilla gorilla gorilla genomic chromosome, chrX, whole genome shotgun sequence
GAAGUUCCCUACUCAGAAAUGUGCCAGUCACUUAGAUUACAUGUCACUGGGUCCUUUCUGGGUAGAGUAAGUAA